rnacentral:misc_RNA from 1 species
CCUAUUCUCUUAUUUGUAAUCAUUUUAUCUGUUUUAUUAUUUAUUUGGUGAACAAGCGUGAAAAUAUUCACAUAAGUAUGCGUAUUUAUUCUUUAUAAAUCUGUCUGUACCGAGAUAAAUGCAAAAAUAUCAUCGACGAUGGUAAGAAUUCUUUUUUUUUUACUUUUAUUUAUUUAUUAGAAUUUUGUUAAUACGAAACAUUGAUCUGGCAGAGAAGACUCGUUCGUUCGGGGGGAAAUAUGUAUUAUAAUCGAAUUAUAUUUGUAUUGAAACGUUGGAUAUAUUUUAAUCGAGGAAAAAGAAGAAAGGUAUGUGAGUUUACCUAGCAGGUUACUUUCACGUUGGGAAGAGUCAUCAAUUUUUCCCCGGCUCACCCUCGUUCCAUAAUUUACGAGUUACAUACGUACGACCUAAGAGUAAAGAGAGAGAGAGAGAGAGAGAAAGAAAAAGAGAUAUAGGAGUGGAAAAAAAAAUCAAUUUUUCAUUUCCGAUGAAAUAUUCAAGAUGGAAGGAUCCAGUCGGAAGUAAGAUAUGAAUUGAAUUCGAUUAAUGAAUCCCUCUCUCUCUCUCUCUCACGAACACACACGCAUACACACAUACAGCUGUGAUCGAUCAAUCGAGUUAGGAAAUAAAAUCGGAUAAACACAAAUGUGGAAAUUUUCGGGCUUCGUCUGUCAUGGCCGCGAGUCUCCGCGGUUACGUUUGGACUGGCUUUGAUAACGAAAGCGAAGAGGAUUCUAGGGAGGAAGAUUUAAGAGGAAUUUAUCGGCGACGCGGUGGUACUGGUGCAAGUAGUAGAGGAAGACAAGGAAGAAAUCCAUUGUUUAUUCUACGGCCAUUGCUGUCGUCGUUACCAGGUCGACGACUCGGUUCAAGGCCAAGAGCCGAUGGACAAUUACGUCAGAAUGACGUUCAGGAUACUAUAGUUGCCCAAUCUAAUAUAACGAGACGUCGUUUCCAUACUACAGCUGUUCUUGCACUGAAACAGUGCAAGAGAAAACAAACCGCCAGAGUGAGGAAGUGCGUUUGUCUCCCCUCCAAUUACGCCCUCGUCGAGUUCCCGGUUGUCUGGUCGGAACUUAGAGCGAAUAGACAGCUUUGCGACGGUGCCAUCAGGUGUGCCAAGGACGAGUUAUUUCCUGUUCAUCGAGCCAUACUUUCCGCGGUUAGUCCUUACUUCAAAGCCCUAUUCACUAACAGUCUCAAGGGUGGAAAAAGUGAGACUACCGAGGUAGUUAUCGAUUCGGUUCCCAGCGAAAUCUUUGCUCUGAUCCUCGAUUAUGCUUACACUGGCACCUGCAACGUAAACGCUGACAACGUUGAACAACUUCUACCUUUGGCAGAUCAAUUCGAAGUACUCGGGGUCGUUCAACUCUGUUGUCAGUUUCUCUUGCAAGAACUCAAGCCGGAUAAUUGUUUAGGAAUAUUUAAAUUUGCUCGUCAUUAUUUCUGUCGGGAUCUCGAGGAUAAAGGUAGGAGAUACAUUCGUCAUCAUUUCAAACAAAUACUUUACGAGAGCUCGGAGUUCAAGGAAUUACAACCGGAAGAAUUGGAAUCGAUAUUGUUGGACGACGAAUUGAACGUUAAAAACGAGGAAAUAGUAUUUGAGGCUGUUAAAAAUUGGUUCGAGUAUAAAAUAGAUGAAAGAAAGAUUUACUUGGCAAAAUUGUUAGAAUGCAUUCGUUACGGAUCUAUGAGUUACAAUUAUUUUCUCGACAACGUUCUCAAUUGGAAAUUCGUUAGGGAAGACGAAGCCUGUCAACGAAUAUUACAGUCAGCAAAGACUUACUUAACCGAACAGGAUAGCAAACAGAAUGGAGAAAUCGACAUGAGGAAUCCAUUGUCGAGACCACGAGUACCCUACGAAAUCCUUUUUGCGAUUGGUGGCUGGAGUGCCGGUUCUCCGACUAGUUUCGUCGAGACCUACGACACUAGAGCUGACAGAUGGUUUCUAUCGGUAAGCACGGAUCUAACACCACGAGCUUAUCACGGGAUUUGUGCUUUAAAUGAUCUCAUCUACAUGAUUGGAGGAUUCGAUGGGAACGAACAUUUCAACACGGUACGAUGUUUCGAUCCGGUGACAAAGGAAUGGCGUGAACGAGCUUGCAUGUAUCACGCUAGAUGUUACGUUAGCGUUUGUACGCAUGGUGGCAAGAUUUACGCGUUGGGAGGAUACAAUGGAAGGACCAGAAUGAAUUCAGCCGAAAGAUACGAGCCACAGAAGAAUCAAUGGGAAAUGAUAUCGUCGAUGAAUCGACAACGUUCAGAUGCCAGUGCGGCUGCACUUAACAAUAAAAUUUACAUCGUCGGUGGUUUCAAUGGUCAAGAAAUUCUCGACUCAGCUGAGGUCUAUGAUCUAGAAAGCAAUCAGUGGAGUUACAUUAGAUCAAUGAUCAGUCCUAGAUCCGGUGUCUCAUUGGUUGCCUUUCGCGAUAGCCUUUACGCAUUGGGUGGCUUCAAUGGUUUCAUUAGGCUAAGUUCCGGUGAAGGUUUCUUCGAUAUCUUCGAAAUCCAAGCGAUAAUUAGGAGAACGUUACAGUCCAAACAAUUCCGAGAAUUGGCAGGAAGUCACGGAAAUGUUCAGUCCGCGGAGUAAUUUUGCCACGGUUAUACUCGACGACAUGAUAUUCGUCAUUGGAGGUUUCAACGGUACGACUACGAUUGCUUACGUCGAGUGUUACGAUGCGGACAACAACGAAUGGUACGAUGCAUCACCGAUGAAUCUAAAUCGAAGUGCACUU